CAGAUCGUCUCCUCCAUCGCAUGGAGAUGAAUUGUUCACCUGUUUUACUUUCCCUAAGAAACCCCAUUUAGUUCAUUGUUGAUUCAGUUUCAAUGCGUCAAUAAGACGAAAAACAACAAGAAGAAGAUGCGGUCAGCAGCUCUGAUUUCUGGGACUGGAUUUAACUUCAGGGUUGUUUCUCAUACACGUCAAUGAUCAGUGAAGUCUCUCUCUCUGUAUCAUUUAAGCUCUAGUAAUUCAUAGCUCUCGUUGUCUUCCACAUCUUUUUUCCAUGCCAAUUUCCCCUCCUGUGUGAUUGAGUGUGUCUAUAUGUAGCUGUAUGUGAGUUGAAAUUCUUGUGACUUUUUUUGGUCGUUAGGGUUUUGUGAAUCUGAAAAUGUUGCUGCUUGAUGAGUGAGUGCCUUUUGAAUUUAAUGGCAUUAUUGGUUUUUUUUUUUUUUUUAAUGUUUUUUUCAUUUGGGGAAAUAGGUUUUGAUGAAAGUCAGAUUUUAGAUUCCUUUUGGUAAUGUUAGCAUUUAAAUCAUAAUCAAGACCAUAUGAGAUUGUCAAAAAAGUUUGAAGAAACAAGAAAUGGCAAUAUAUAUACAUACACACCAGUAUGACAUAGAUGUAUCAGUAUGACAUAGAUGAUGGUAUGUUGUUUGUGUAUAGCAUUUUACUAUUCCUGUUCUAUACGGUCUUAUUGUCUGUGCUGUCUGGUGCUUUUAGUCUAUUCAUAAUUUUUGCCGUAAUUUUUCUUCUUUCUCUAAAUUUUGGAACCCUUUUUGCUGCUCAUUUAUUUUUAAAUCAUUUUCUGAAACCAUUUUUGUUGAAUGGUAUACUCUUUCACGUUAAGCGAGAAAUAUGCUUCCUUAGGUGGAUAUUCUGCAGAAUCUGUAAGACUUUCCAGAAAUGCAGUGGAAACUAAUUAUAUAAUCGUUGUGAGCUUGACCAAUGUUGUAUUGUGUAAUUAAUGUUUACUCAAACAGGAAUCUCUAUGAUUGAUAAUUUGCUGGUGUCUUAGCCCUUUGCACAAUGAUAUUGAGUCAAAGAGAUUGCAAUGAAAAAUUCUAUAAAGGUUUAAUGACUCUUGGAGUUAAAUAUGUGAGGAAAUUACUUCAAUGGCUUAAAUAUCGACACAUUGAAUAUUAACCCUGAUCUUGUAAUUUCUUUAUGUUUGUUUCAGCCCUUUAUGAAAUUUAUGGCAUGUUUGACUAAUCACAGAUUUCAUGCAGCUUUUACUCUGGGGAGGAAAGAUUACAAGCGAAGUGAGUCUUAAAAUUUUUCUCACCAAUUGUGUUAUGGACCAAAUUUACUUCACGGCAGUACAAGUCUGAUGUCUUUUUUUUUUUUUCUGCAUUCAUGGAUUAUUGCAAGGAAUCAACGAUUUUCUGGACUACUUUCUCGAGUAUUGCUGGGAUGAUGGGAUCAUAAAUGAGAGACACAGUGUAACUGGAAAAUCUUUCAAAAGUCAGCCUUGGGAUACAAGAGUAGAAUUCACUGGUAGUGUAAAAUGCAAUGUAGCAUAACAUAAUCUGCUUCUGAUCCCUACCUUAUUGACCACAACUCUGUAUUUAUUAUGGCUUUCAUUGCUACCCCUCCAGUAGAUAUUGAUGGUAUUCAUGAACAUGUUUCUGGAUCUCUGUGGUGGUCCCGCUUAUGGGUUCAAAUAUAUACAUUCUAAGAAGAAAUAUUUGAAUAUCAAUCUCAUCGAUAUCAUCGAUUUUUGGGGCAGAAUAGCAGUGAAAGUACAAGCGUUAGUAGCAUAGCCAAAAUGCAUUCCUCGUCGUUAGUAUGUUUGCUCGUGGUAAUUGUGGCCUCCCGGGCAAAUCGAUGACUGCAUCUUUGAUGCACUUGCUAGUGCAUCUGAGAAUUCUUAGGCUUGCAAAUGAUUUAAAGGGAGUACAAAUAUAAACUUCUUUGCUUAGAAUUGAUCUCUAUUAAUUGCAUUUCUCUUCUGUUGCUAAAUUAUGCAUAAUACUGUUCUCACCUUGUUUUUGACAUAUAAAGUGGCAAGUAGGAUUUAUCUUUAUAUUGUCUUUUCCUCCUAUUUGAAUCUGACAUUACAUAUAUGUAUAUAUAUAUUUUUUUCCUUUUCAAUUGCAGGCUGGGGAUGAUACAAUACAGUUGUCUUACAAUUACAUCAAUGACUUUGAGACUAAAAAUCAACCUCCUCAAAAGCUUUACACACUUUGUGGUUUUAGUUUGUAGCAAGUAGGACUUAUCUUUUUUUUUGGGGGGGUUUUCAAUUGCAGGCUGAGGAUGCUCUUAUCCAGUUGAUUCAUAACCUUGUCAACCUUGCAUGCUUUGCAAUUAUAGUUUCUUGACUGUAUUUAGAGGAGAUCAAUCAUUAGAACUGUCUUGAUGGUGUCAUUGAGAAGAUUAGAGGGACAAGAGAGCAGUGUAUGCAAAUAGCCAUAUUCAAACUCGAGCAAGGGGUCCAGAUAGAAGAUAGAAGGUUAUCAUUGGUAAUCAUUAUUAUUUGAACUGCUCAUGAGGACACAAAGUCAUAAUUGAAAACAUUUCUCCUA